AAUGAUAAGGGAGGGGGUAAUUUGAAUAUUUAAAGGAGCUCUUUCACAGAAAAAGCGUGUGUGUUGGUUUCUGAGCGGAGGGAGAACAAACGCCAACAAUCAAGUGGAUAAAGUUAUCUCCAUCGGCUGUUGGAAAUAAAUAUUCUCAAAGCAGUCGGUCCUCGCGUCUGAGUCUCAUCAAGUACUGAGCAAAACAACAACAACAAAAGCAAGUCUUUAAAAAUCAAUAGGACAAACAAAAGCCAACAGCCGUUCAAUUUAUAAACCCAUCUGUCCAAUUUUUCUUAUCUUUUCUUUUAUUAUUACAGGGAUCACAACGGGAAAGCAAAGGGAUUAUUGAAGAGACCCCAACAUCUGAAGCUUUGAUUGGGCCUCCAAAUUGCUGCUGUACUUGUACCAUCUCUAGCAGAGGGAAGAGAUCUGCACUCUCAGCUGAAGUCUACUGGGUGUCCUAUAGUCCACCAUCCUGCACGGCACUAGAAGAGAUUUCGGUAAAGAUGUUUGCACAGCUGUUCACACACAGCGAAUAAUUCUCAGGAAUUCUGCAGUUGAUUGAAUUCCAGGGAUAAAUAGCAUAACCCUUCAACAAAAUGGGUAA
rnacentral:lncRNA from 1 species